rnacentral:rRNA from 1 species
CCUGGUUGAUCCUGCCAGUAGUGAUAUGCUUGUCUUAAAGAUUAAGCCAUGCAUGUGUAUGUUCAUGCCAAUAUAAGGCAAAACCGCGAAUGGCUCAUUAAAUCAGUCAUAAUUUAAUGGGUGGCUGUGAUACAUGGAUAACUGUGGUAAUCCUAGAGCUAAUACAUGUAAUCGAGCCAUGGUACUAGCUUCGGCGACGUACCAUGACACAUUUAUUGGCGAAAACUGAUUAUGCUUCGGCAUUGAAUUGAUGGUGAAAUACAAUAACAUUGUGUGGAUCGUAUGGUCUUGUACCGACGACGCGCUUUGUAAAUGUCUGCCCUAUCAGCUAUUGAUGGUUUGGUAGUGGCUGACCAUGGCUGUGACGGGUGACGGGGAAUCUGGGUUCGAUUCCGGAGAAGGAGCUUGAGAAACGGCUACUACUUCUAAGGAAGGCAGCAGGCGCGUAAUUUACCCACUCCUAGAUUUGGGAGGUAGUGACAACAAAUACCCUACAGAGAAAACUUACAGUUAUCUCUUAAACGGUAUGAGUGCAGUGUGAAAGACUGUGCGAUAUACGAUUGGAGGGCAAGUCUGGUGCCAGCAGCCGCGGUAAUUCCAGCUCCAAUAGUAUAUACUAAAGUUGUUGCGGUUAAAAAGCUCGUAGUUGGAUAUCAGUGUGUGCCUGACAUCAAUAUGCAAGACUGUUUUUAAACAGUCUUGCGUUAAGUAUUGAUGGGCCGCAUUAAAUGUGUCGCAUUAGGCUAUGGGCUGUUUUACGGAAGGGCCUAUAGUCAAUCGGCAGCAUUACUUUGAACAAAUUAGAGUGCUCAAAGCAGGCUUUUAGCCUGAAUAUACUAUUCAUAGUAUAGGAGAAUACGUCCUUAACUCGUUUUGGUCUGUUUGCGAGUUAAAGGAAAUGAUUAAAAGGGACAGACGGAGGCAUUCGUAUUGCAGCGCGAGGGGUGAAAUCCGUUGACCGUUGCACGACGAACUAUUGCGAAAGCAUUUGCCUAGAAUGUUUUCAUUAGUCAAGAACGAAAGUUAGAGGUUCGAAGGCGAUCAGAUACCGCCCUAGUUCUAACUGUAAACUAUGUCGACCAGCAAUCCGUGAAUGUUAGAGAAAGACUUCACGGGCAGCUCCUGGGAAACCAGAGUCUUUGGACUCCGGGGGGAGUAUGGUUGCAAAACAGAAACUUAAAGGAAUUGACGGAAGGGCACCACCAGGAGUGGAGCUUGCGGCUUAAUUUGACUCAACACGGGGCAACUCACCAGGCCCGGACACUGUAAGGAUUGACAAACUAAUGGCUUUCUCAUGAUUUAGUGGGUUGUGGUGCAUGGCCGUUCUUAGUUGGUGGAGUGAUUUGUCUGGUUUAUUCCGAUAACGAGCGAGACUCUUACCUGCUAAUUAGACGUUUUAUUGCUUGCAAUAAAACGUGCUUCUUAGAGGGAUGGUUGACGUUGUAGUCAAAAGAGAAAGAGCAAUAACAGGUCUGUGAUGCCCUUAGAUGUUCUGGGCUGCACGUGUGUUACACUGAAACGAUCAACACGAUUUAAAAGUCCUACUUUGAAAAAAGUGGGUAAUCGUUUGAACACGUUUCGUGAUGGGAAUUGAGGGUUGUAAUUAUCUCUCAUGAACGAGGAAUUCCCAGUAAGCACGAGUCAUCAACUUGUGUUGAUUAUGUCCCUGCCCUUUGUACACACCGCCCGUCGCUACUACCGAUGGAUAACUUAGUGAGGUCGUCCAGACUGAACACUAGUUUUUUAAACUGUGUUUGGAAAGGCGCCCAAACUUAGCUGUCUAGAGGAAGUAAAAGUCGUAACAAGGUUUCCGUAGGUGAACCUGCGGAAGGAUCAUUA